rnacentral:rRNA from 1 species
CUCCCGGCUUAACUGGGAGGGUGCGGCGAAUACUGAAGGACUAGAGUAUGGGAGAGGAAAGUGGAAUUCCUGGUGUAGCGGUGAAAUGCGUAUAUAUCAGGAGGAACACCGGUGGUGUAGACGGCUUUCUGGACCAUAACUGACGCUGAGACACGAAAGCGUGGGUAGCAAACAGGAUUAGAUACCCUGGUAGUCCACGCCCUAAACGAUGCAUAUUUGGUGUGGGCAGUUCAUUCUGUCCGUGCCGGAGCUAACGCGUUAAAUAUGCCGCCUGGGGAGUACAGUCGCAAGGCUGAAACUCAAAGGAAUUGACGG